rnacentral:rRNA from 1 species
CGAUGAGUGCUAAGUGUUGGAGGGUUUCCGCCCUUCAGUGCUGCAGCUAACGCAUUAAGCACUCCGCCUGGGGAGUACGACCGCAAGGUUGAAACUCAAAGGAAUUGACGGGGGCCCGCACAAGCGGUGGAGCAUGUGGUUUAAUUCGAAGCAACGCGAAGAACCUUACCAGGUCUUGACAUCCUUUGACCACUCUAGAGAUAGAGCUUCCCCUUCGGGGGCAAAGUGACAGGUGGUGCAUGGUUGUCGUCAGCUCGUGUCGUGAGAUGUUGGGUUAAGUCCCGCAACGAGCGCAACCCUUAUUGUUAGUUGCCAUCAUUCAGUUGGGCACUCUAGCAAGACUGCCGGUGACAAACCGGAGGAAGGUGGGGAUGACGUCAAAUCAUCAUGCCCCUUAUGACCUGGGCUACACACGUGCUACAAUGGGAAGUACAACGAGUUGCGAAGUCGCGAGGCUAAGCUAAUCUCUUAAAGCUUCUCUCAGUUCGGAUUGCAGGCUGCAACUCGCCUGCAUGAAGCCGGAAUCGCUAGUAAUCGCGGAUCAGCACGCCGCGGUGAAUACGUUCCCGGGCCUUGUACACACCGCCCGUCACACCACGAGAGUUUGUAACACCCGAAGUCGGUGAGGUAACCUUUUGGAGCCAGCCGC